CCUACGGGUGGCUGCAGUGGGGAAUAUUGGACAAUGGGCGAAAGCCUGAUCCAGCCAUGCCGCGUGUGUGAAGAAGGCCUUCGGGUUGUAAAGCACUUUCAGUGGGGAAGAAAGCCUUGGGGCUAAUACCCUCGAGGAAGGACAUCACCCACAGAAGAAGCACCGGCUAACUCCGUGCCAGCAGCCGCGGUAAUACGGAGGGUGCGAGCGUUAAUCGGAAUUACUGGGCGUAAAGCGCGCGUAGGCGGUCUGAUAAGCCGGUUGUGAAAGCCCCGGGCUCAACCUGGGAACGGCAUCCGGAACUGUCAGGCUAGAGUUCAGGAGAGGAAGGUAGAAUUCCCGGUGUAGCGGUGAAAUGCGUAGAGAUCGGGAGGAAUACCAGUGGCGAAGGCGGCCUUCUGGACUGACACUGACGCUGAGGUGCGAAAGCGUGGGUAGCAAACAGGAUUAGAUACCCUAGUAGUC
rnacentral:rRNA from 1 species